GGAUGAUAAUUGAGCUGCAUUGCAUGUUGAUAUUCUAUGAAAUAGAUGGGUGAUGAAUUAUGAUUGUGGUUAUGAUGCUAAGCAGGGUGUAUGAAUGAAUNUUGUGUGAGAAAGCAUGUUGUGUGAGGUAUUGAGCUCCAGAGUUUUCAUUGCUGUAUGUAUUGUUCACUGGAAAGCAUGAAUGAUAUUGCCUUAAUCUGGAUGAUUGAUUGAAUUGCAUGUGAAUGUCAUAUGAUCAAGGCCAUGUUUGAAAAUCCUUCUCUAGC
rnacentral:lncRNA from 1 species